rnacentral:rRNA from 1 species
AUCGAACGCUGGCGGCAGGCCUAACACAUGCAAGUCGAGCGAGUGGCGGACGGGUGAGUAAUGUAUGGGGAUCUGCCCGAUGGAGGGGGAUAACUUCUGGAAACGGUGGCUAAUACCGCAUACUCUCGGAUGUACCCAUAUGGGAUUAGCUAGUAGGAGGGGUAAAGGCGCACCUAGGCGACGAUCCCUAGCUGGUCUGAGCGGAUGAUCAGCAACACUGGAAAUGAGACACGGCCCAGACUCCUACGGGAGGCAGCAGUGGGGAAUAUUGCACAAUGGGCGCAAGCCUGAUGCAGCCAUGCCGCGUGUAGUAAGAAGGCCUUAGGGUUGUAAAGUACUUUCAGCGGGGAGGCGUUACCCGCAGAAGAAGCACCGGAUAACUCCGUGCCAGCAGCCGCGGUAAUUC